GAUGAACGCUAGCGGCAGGCUUAAUACAUGCAAGUCGAGGGACAGCACAGGUAGCAAUACUGGGUGGUAACCGGCAAACGGGUGCGGAACACGUACACAACCUUCCUUUAAGUGGGGGAUAGCCCAGAGAAAUUUGGAUUAAUACCCCGUAAUAUAGUUGAAUGGCAUCAUUUGAUUAUUAUAGCUACGGCGCUUAAUGAUGGGUGUGCGGCUGAUUAGAUAGUUGGCGGGGUAACGGCCCACCAAGUCUACGAUCAGUAGCUGAUGUGAGAGCAUGAUCAGCCACACGGGAACUGAGAUACGGGCCCGACUCCUACGGGAGGCAGCAGUAAGGAAUAUUGGUCAAUGGACGCAAGUCUGAACCAGCCAUGCCGCGUGAAGGAUUAAGGUCCUCUGGAUUGUAAACUUCUUUUAUUUGGGACGAAAAAGGGCCUUUCUAGGUCAACUGACGGUCCCAGAUGAAUAAGCACCGGCUAACUCCGUGCCAGCCGCCGCCGUAAAAC
rnacentral:rRNA from 1 species